rnacentral:rRNA from 1 species
CUAACAUGUGCGCGAGUCGUUGGGCGUUACGAAACCCGAAGCGCAAUGAAAGUGAAGGCACGGUUCUGCCGGCCUGGGUGGGAUCGUCGGCCGUUCGCGGUCGGCGCGCACCACCGGCCCGUCUCACUCGCAUCGUCGGGGAGGCGGAGCAAGAGCGUACACGUUGGGACCCGAAAGAUGGUGAACUAUGCCUGAGUAGGACGAAGCCAGAGGAAACUCUGGUGGAGGUCCGCAGCGAUUCUGACGUGCAAAUCGAUCGUCAAACUUGGGUAUAGGGGCGAAAACAAAAAAUCG